CUUGACUCUGGAUAUGGGGGUGAUGGUGGCCCCCAAUGUCAUGGGGCUAUUCACUGAGACGGGAUUACAGAAGGGAAACAGACUGGGGAGAGAGAUAAGGAGAGCUUUCCUAGGUGCUGGGAAUGACAUGGGAGAAAGAUAACUGACCAGAUUCCCGGCUGCAUGGAAUUUAGAAUCUAGUUGUAGGGACAGGCAUACAGCAAAAAUAUGUAUAAGCCCCAUGGAAGUCAUCAACGAGUUUUUCGAAAGGAGGGAGGGGAGGCUCCAAUAACUGCUCAGCGUGCUGGGCACUGCGAGUCGGUGGUCCUCACGGGGUCUGGGGGCAGAUACCUUCAGUUCCUUGUGGAUGUGCCUGUUUCCCUCCUGCCCAGCAGGUGCAGGUAAGCACUCACUUCCACAUCUUCCUGUUGGUCAGUGGAAUGCAGCAACACGUCAUUGUCUGAAAGAGAAAAGAAUGAG